rnacentral:rRNA from 1 species
UACGAAGGGGGCUAGCGUUGCUCGGAAUUACUGGGCGUAAAGGGCUCGUAGGCGGCCAACUAAGUCAGACGUGAAAUCCCUCGGCUUAACCGGGGAACUGCGUCUGAUACUGGAUGGCUUGAGUUUGGGAGAGGGAUGCGGAAUUCCAGGUGUAGCGGUGAAAUGCGUAGAUAUCUGGAGGAACACCGGUGGCGAAGGCGGCAUCCUGGACCAACACUGACGCUGAGUGAGCGAAAGCCAGGGAGCAACGGG